ACUCUAGGGAAAGUUAGCUGCCAUGUUGGCAGCAGCUCUGUGGAAAGGCCCAUGUGGCAAGGAAUUGAGAAAUCUUGCCAACAGCCCAUGAGAAACUGAGGCCUCAAGUCCACAGCCAGAAUCUUAAAUGCUUGUGUGCAGCCACCAUCCUGACAAAUGAUUCAACAAAUGAUUCAAAGAGAAAAACCAGAAUACAAUUAUUUUGAUAGACACGUAAAACUGAAAAUCAAAUAUCCACAGAUGAAACUUCACCUUCAAGGAAAAUCGCCAACAGUGGUAAAGAGCUGCACAACACUUGAAGUUUUCUCCUGCAGCUUUGAUUGAACAAGCACCAGUAGGAGGGACUAAAAAUAAAGAGAUGUUUCUGGAUGAGAUUAGCAUUCAAAUUCGUGGACUCAUUAAAGUAGAUGGCUCUCUCCAAUAUGGGUGGGCAUCAUCCAAUCUGUUGAAGGCGUGAAGAGAACAAGAGAAGGAGGAAGGAAGAAUUCACCUUUUUUCUUGCUGCCCACCUGCUUGGGCUGGGACAUUGCAUCUCACCUUCUCCAGCCUUUGGAUGAGGAUUUACACCCUGGUUCUCAGGCCUUCAGGCUCUAACUGGAGCUACACUAUCAACUUUCCUGGGCCUCCAGAUUGCAGAUGGUGGAUCACGGUACUUUUUAGCCUCCAUCAUAAUAUGAGAAAAAAGAGGCACAGUGAAGCUAAAUAUAUUGGCUAAAGAUCACAAAGCUAAGAAGAUUAUCAAGGUUAUCUGUGCUCAAUGUGUGCAUCUCAGAUCAGCAGCAUCAGCAUCACCUGGGAGCUUGUUAGAGCUGGAGACUCUCAGGCUCCACGGCAGACUUCCUGAAUCAGAAGCUACAAUUUAACAGGAUCCUCGGGUGAUCUGAAAAUGCAAUAAAGUUUGGGAAGCACUGCUGUUGGUCAUUAGACAAUCUAAUGAACUAAGACUUUUGCCGAGCAUCUGAGUUGAAAUUUUUCAAGAUGAAAAGUUGCUAAAGAAAGAGAAAGGGAAGCGGUUUGCUCCAGUAUUCCUCUUUCCACCUUCCCACUGACUGGGAAGCGGCGGUUAGCAGAGCCACAGUCUUGGAUUAGAGAUAAGAGGGACAUGUUGAGGAAGGUGGAGUCUCCCCCACAGCCCUGGACCAGGCUCCAGUGCCAACAAAAGCCAAGAAGAACCUCUGGAGCAAUCAGUCUGUGAGUGCCUGGGAUAUAUUGCUGUUACAAUGGGGUCAGUGAGGGCCAGUUGAGAGAGUGCUAGGCUGACAGACAAGGACCUGGGCUUCCAGCUCUGCCACCUACCAACUGUGUGAUUUCUCUGGUUUUAGUUUCCCCAUCUGCAGGAGGGGGUUUGAUUUUAAAGAUCUGGAUUCUUAAGUAA
ensembl:lncRNA TNPO1-DT TNPO1 divergent transcript